UACGUAGGGGGCAAGCGUUGUCCGGAAUCAUUGGGCGUAAAGCGCACGUAGGCGGUUCGUUAUGUCGGAUGUGAAAGCCCUUGGCUUAACCGAGGAAGUGCAUCCGAAACUGGCGAGCUAGAGUACGAAAGAGGAUCGCGGAAUUCCCGGUGUAGAGGUGAAAUUCGUAGAUAUCGGGAGGAACACCGGUGGCGAAGGCGGCGAUCUGGGUCGAUACUGACGCUGAGGUGUGAAAGCGUGGGGAGCAAACAGG
rnacentral:rRNA from 1 species